GUGUUGUGCAGUAUCCAGAGCUAUGGGGUCAGAUUAAGUGUUUUCUACAGUUUUCUGGGUAUAUUAUUUGAUGGUAUAUACUGUAAACUAAAUGUCCCCAUUGAAACGAUAUCUUGAUUACUCUUAACUGCAUUAUUGCGUUACACGGGGGGGUAGAGUUGCUGUUGGUAAAAACGUUGUGUUCUUUGUCACAAAAUAUGCAUAUUUGUUCAUGCUUAACAGGUUAUAUACACUUUCUUUGUGUGUUGGCACAUCUCGGAAAGCACACGUAUCUCUUUAGCAUUAUCAACAUGUUCUCUGGUGUGGAUAAUCUAGCAUAAUGGUGCACUGCCCUUGAUUGAAUUUGGAUUUACACCCCUGAGGAGGAGGUUCACCGGGUUUAGAAUAACACAAAGUAAAGUAUUGGAUUUGGAUUUACACCCCUGAGGAGGAGGUUCACCGGGUUUAGAAUAACACAAAGUAAAGUAUUGGAUUUGGAUUUACACCCCUGAGGAGGAGGUUUACCGGGUUUAGAAUAACACAAAGUAAAGUAUUGGAUUUGGAUUUACACCCCUGAGGAGGAGGUUCACCGGGUUUAGAAUAACACAAAGUAAAGUAUUGGAUUUGGAUUUACACCCCUGAGGAGGAGGUUCACCGGGUUUAGAAUAACACAAAGUAAAGUAUUGGAUUUGGAUUUACACCCCUGAGGAGGAGGUUUACCGGGUUUAGAAUAACACAAAGUAAAGUAUUGGAUUUGGAUUUACACCCCUGAGGAGGAGGUUCACCGGGUUUAGAAUAACACAAAGUAAAGUAUUGGAUUUGGAUUUACACCCCUGAGGAGGAGGUUUACCGGGUUUAGAAUAACACAAAGUAAAGUAUUGGAUUUGGAUUUACACCCCUGAGGAGGAGGUUUACCGGGUUUAGAAUAACACAAAGUAAAGUAUUGGAUUUGGAUUUACACCCCUGAGGAGGAGGUUCACCGGGUUUAGAAUAACACAAAGUAAAGUAUUGGAUUUGGAUUUACACCCCUGAGGAGGAGGUUCACCGGGUUUAGAAUAACACAAAGUAAAGUAUUGGAUUUGGAUUUACACCCCUGAGGAGGAGGUUCACCGGGUUUAGAAUAACACAAAGUAAAGUAUUGGAUUUGGAUUUACACCCCUGAGGAGGAGGUUCACCGGGUUUAGAAUAACACAAAGUAAAGUAUUGGAUUUGGAUUUACACCCCUGAGGAGGAGGUUCACCGGGUUUAGAAUAACACAAAGUAAAGUAUUGGAUUUGGAUUUACACCCCUGAGGAGGAGGUUCACCGGGUUUAGAAUAACACAAAGUAAAGUAUUGGAUUUGGAUUUACACCCCUGAGGAGGAGGUUCACCGGGUUUAGAAUAACACAAAGUAAAGUAUUGGAUUUGGAUUUACACCCCUGAGGAGGAGGUUCACCGGGUUUAGAAUAACACAAAGUAAAGUAUUGGAUUUGGAUUUACACCCCUGAGGAGGAGGUUCACCGGGUUUAGAAUAACACAAAGUAAAGUAUUGGAUUUGGAUUUACACCCCUGAGGAGGAGGUUCACCGGGUUUAGAAUAACACAAAGUAAAGUAUUGGAUUUGGCCUUCACAGACAGUACAAAUAGAAUGUUAGUCUCCUCUCCUCUCACCAUCCUUUUGAAGAAAUACACCACAUCUGAACAAAGAACUGACAGAAUUAAAGAUAGCUUGUGUCCUGAGUCCUGAACUGUUUUUCUUUCCAGUGUUUCUACCUCUGGGGGAAGCAAAACUUCAUUUUAAAGAUGUCGGCU